CUGGGGUGAGCAAGGUGAUAGUGUUUACAUCAGACAAGCCAGGGGGCAACAGUUGGGACACAGUUGUGCCCAAGGUCAGACAAGUUAUCAGGCAGCAAUAUUAUUCUCCACCACAACACACCAUCUUCAGUGAUUUCAGUGACUUCAAUAACAACUGGCAGUCAGCAUGAUGAGCAAACCACUAGUGGGUGUGCAGGACUAUGAACGGGAGGCUCGCUGGCGCCUGCCUAAGACUGCCCUUGACUACUAUCAGUCAGGUGCCCUGGAUGAAGUCACCCUCAAGGAAAACAAAGAGGCUAUGGACAGGUGGUACAUUCGGCCUAGAUUCAUGAGAGAUGUGUCAAAGCGCAGUCUGGCCACCACCCUGCUGGGUCACAAGGUUGCUGUACCAUUUGGAGUGGCCCCAACAGCCAUGCAGCGGAUGGCUCAUCCUGAUGGGGAAGUGGCCACAGCACGAGCUGCAGGACGGAUUGGUGCCCCCUUCACCCUAAGCACUAUCAGCACAUUCAGCCUGGAGGAGGUGGCCAUGAGAGCCCCAAACACACUGCGCCUCUUUCAGCUCUACAUAUACAAGGACAGAGAGUUGACAGCCUCCCUGGUCAGGAGGGCUGAGGCUGCUGGCUUCUCAGCACUGGUACUCACUGUGGAUGCACCAUACUUUGGCAUCCGCCGUGCAGAUGUCAGAAAUCAAUUCACACUUCCUCCUCAUCUCAGGAUGGCCAACUUCCAAAGUGAUGAGGCAGCAAGUAAUCACCUCCAUACCUCAGAUGGUGGCUCAGGGAUCAAUGAGUAUGUGGCCUCGCUGUUUGACCCAACGCUCACCUGGGAGGACGUGGCCUGGCUCAAAAGCAUCACCAAGCUUCCCCUGGUGCUCAAAGGGAUCCUGACAAGGGAGGACGCGAUACUGGGUGUGGAGGCUGGCGCUGCAGCUAUCUGGGUGUCCAACCACGGUGCUCGACAGGUGGAUGGUGUAGCCCCCACGGUUAUUUCCUUGAGAUUUCCCCAUCCCUUGUUCCCAGAUGGAGGCCCUUCCCGAGGUGGUGGAGGCAGUGAGUGACCGCUGUGAGGUGUAUGUGGAUAGUGGCUUCUCCCAGGGAGCAAAUAUCUUCAAGGCUCUUGCUCUUGGGGCAAACAUGGUGUUCAUGGGGCGGCCACUGCUGUGGGGUCUGGCCUGCGGGGGUGAGGAUGGAGCAUGGAGUGUGUUGGACACAGUACGGACAGAGCUGGAAUCCACCAUGGCACUGUCAGGGUGUCCCACAGUACCAGACAUCACCCGGGCAAUGGUGGUGCGCCGUGAGACCCGUGCUCACCUUUGAUGUACUGUGAUGCAGUUGGUUACUACUUGUACCUGCCACCUGCAGCUCACCACCCAACACACUACUGACUAACCAAUACUUGUACCUGCCACUUGCAGCUCACCACCCAACACAACACUCUCUGCUAUUUAUACAGUAGCUCCCAAAACUACCUUUAAAAAAUAAGAGGUCUACAUUCUGACACAAUUAUUUAACAUAAUUGGUGAAUACAGUAGCAACAGUUGGUAGCCCUGCACACUAGGGAUUAUUGCGGUAAAUUAUAACCUGGAAAGUAGAUCCGUACAAUAUAUCAGCAUAACAUCAAGCCAUGCAGCAGGUUUAGUUAAUUAUGCCACAGUUGGCACCACACUUUAAAGAUAGUUUUGGGAGCAACUACACCUGCCACCUGCAGCUCACCACCUAACACAAAUAAUUAGAAUGAGCUAUGUGUAGUUUUCCUCUCCAUCCUUGAUACUCCCUAUGAAAAGUGAAUAUUAAUCCACUCUAUUGCAGGCCAAACAUUACCUGAUAGCUGGUUUCACUUUCAAUUAAAGGCUUCUUUGGUG